UGAAUACGAGACGCUAAGGCGUCGAAGUAGUGUAUAUCAGACUUCCAAGAAAAGCUUGCACUGUCAUAGAUAAAAAAUGCCUGUACCAUAACCGACACAGGUGGGUAGGUAGAGUAUACUAAGGGGCGCGAGAUAACUCUCUCUAAGGAACUCGGCAAAAUAACUCCGUAACUUCGGGAGAAGGAGUGCCUUAUUUAUAAGGUUGCAAUAACAAGAUCCAAGCAACUGUUUAUCAAAAACACAGGUCUCCGCUAAGUCGUAAGACGAUGAUGGGGGCUGACGCCUGCCCUGUGCCAGAAGGUUAAAGAAGUUGGUUAGCAAUUGCGAAGCUGAUAACUGAAGCCCUGGUGAACGGCGGCCGUAACAAUAACGGUCCUAAGGUAGCGAAAUUCCUUGUCGGGUAAGUUCCGACCCGCACGAAGGGCGUAAUGAAUUGGAUACUGUCUCGGAGAGGGGCUCGGUGAAAUAGACUUGUCUGUGAAGAUGCGGACUACCUGCACCAGGACAGAAAGACCCUAUGAAGCUUUACUGUAACUUGAAAUUGAAAUUGGACUUUAUUCGCGCAGCAUAGGUGGGAGGCGUUGAUUAUAAUCUUGCGGGAUUAUUGGAGCCAUCAGUGAGAUACCACUCUUGUAAUGUUAGAUUUCUAACUUUGAAUCAUUAUCUGGUCAAAGAGCAGUUUCAGGCGGGCAGUUUGACUGGGGCGGUCGCCUCCUAAAUGGUAACGGAGGCGUACAAAGGUUUCCUCUGAACGGUUAGAAAUCGUAUCUAGAGUGUAAAGGCAUAAGGAAGCUUGACUGUGAGACCUACAAGUCGAGCAGGGACGAAAGUCGGUCUUAGUGAUCUGACGGUACUGAGUGGAAAGGCCGUCACUCAACGGAUAAAAGUUACUCUAGGAUAACAGGCUGAUCUCCCCCAAGAGUUCACAUCGACGGGGAGGUUUGGCACCUCGAUGUCGGCUCAUCGCAUCCUGGGGCGGUAGUACGUCCCAAGGGUUGGGCUGUUCGCCCAUGAAAGCGGUACGCGAGCUGGGUUCAGAACGUCGUGAGACAGUUCGGUCCAUAUCCGGUGUAGGCGUUAGAAUAUUGAGAGGAGCCUUCUUUAGUACGAGAGGACCGAGAAGGACAUACCUCUGGUGUACCAGUUAUCGUGCCAACGGUAAACGCUGGGUAGCUAUGUAUGGAGUGGAUAACCGCUGAAAGCAUCUAAGUGGGAAGCCCACCUCAAGAUAAGUA
rnacentral:rRNA from 1 species